GUCAGAAAGUGGCACAAUUAACUCAACAGAGACUUGUCGGUUCUCUUCCUCCAUCACACUAAGAGACCUCCUAACACCAUUCAGAAAAGCGGACAAUUUUCAACCUAUGGCCGAUGUUCCCAGCUCCACCAAUGAUUUGCUAUUAAACUGGUAAGACCAAAGAUUAAAAGCUAGAUCACUUCGGAUGCAAAUGAGCUUUAAAUAAGAUUCUAGAGAGUCA
rnacentral:lncRNA from 1 species